AUUAGGCAAUUAGGCCAGCAGUUUUUCCAUACCAUGUGGUUAGAAGGCCAUAAAGCUGUGAAGGAGCUGGCAUGGAGUAGCGAUGUGGGUUGUGUGUUGAGAAGUAGAAGGAGGCUUCAUGUUGCUGGAGGAGAGUCUUAUGGCUGCUACGUGUCAGUCAGCAAGUGCGUGGUGAUACGCCAUGGUGGUGUCUUGAGUGGAUGGAAGGAGUGAGGAGUGGUCUUGGAGAGUAAAUUCAAGUGGCUGGAUCAUAUUCAAGAAAAGGAGGAGCAGAUUUGUGAGGAGACCAGGGACUACCUCAGCUCUCACUGUUGUACUACUGACUCAAUCUCUCAAGCUCAUGUACGGCAUGUUGCUUGCCCACUGCACGCACCUUCCUGAUGUGGACAGUGUUACAAAUGAGAACUUAUUUUCUAUAAUAAUUCCGCCACCGAACCAGAGGUUGAGUGCUGCCUGAGGCCCCGGGGCAGGCCGGGUCAGCUUCCGCCCUGGCCUUGGCCCGCGCUUCCGUCGCGGACCAGUAGAGGGCGCCCGCGCUCCGCCGCCGCUGCGCCAGACUGCGGGCUGUGGCGCAGCGUUGGCCCGGCGGGCGCUGGCUGCCGCUGCUGGCGUUGCUUUAGGCCGCGGGUCGGCUUCGGCACCCCUCGGGCGGCUCGACCUGCGGCACCUUCCAGCCCUCAGCGCCCACAGAUGUGAUUCUAACACAUCGCUGAGAUGCAGGAAACCCUACUCUGCCUCUGCAAGUCAGGAUCCAGGCGCAGCAAUGGUUCUGCAUGAACUUAUGUGUUUAAAACGUCUAUAUCUACAGUUAAAAACAGUAUUCAUUUCUACAUAAGUAUAACCAACAUUUCUACUGGUAUUGAGUGGUGUUCUACAUCUCUAAUGCUGUAGGUUUCUAAAUGUUUUAUUUAGAAGACUUGGUGGCUUUUACCCUAGUUGUGAUAUAGCGCUUUCAGUGUCUUGGAUCUCAAAAGACUUGGGACUGUGAGUGAAGAAUUCCAUGGCAAAUACUCUGACAAAUUAAAUAACUUGAAUUUUCAAUGCUGUAAU